UAUGUUGGUCUAACUGUGAGCAGGGGCAAUGGACAGCAUGCUCCGGGACUAAGGGACACCUUAGGGAGAGAAGCUAGCAAAGCCAAACAGGCAAAACGGCACAAGGAGGUACAUGUGUAAAGUCAUUCUGGUGAGAUCUAGGUUGGAAAUGAAAAGGGGCCUAAAGCCAGGGAUGGUUGGGACUACAGCUGUGGGGGAAAGACCAUCAUUUGAAGGUGACAGCUGGAAAUACUAUUGCUUUACGCAUUACAACUACAAUGUACAAAGAACUAGGCCAUGGGCAGUCUUCAGUCCUGUUCCAUCUGACUUCUGUGAAAUUAAUAAAGGAAAGGACAACAUCUUUAAAAGUACUUAAGUACCAAGCAAGUGACCCUUCUCUGCUGGAAUGCUGCCCCACUAAUGAUGCAGAGAAGAAAAACAGCCGUUUCUGGCAGAGUUUGCAGGAUCUCUCAUGCCAAACAAAAACGCCUAAAAUGUCUGGUAAAAAUAAAUAUCACUAUGAAAUUCUGG